GUGGGGAAUAUUGGGCAAUGGGCGAAAGCCUGACCCAGCAACGCCGCGUGAAGGAAGAAGGUUUUCGGAUCGUAAACUUCUAUCCUUGGUGAAGAUAAUGACGGUAGCCAAGAAGGAAGCCCCGGCUAACUACGUGCCAGCAGCCGCGGUAAUACGUAGGGGGCAAGCGUUGUCCGGAAUGAUUGGGCGUAAAGGGCGCGUAGGCGGCCCGGUAAGUCUGAAGUGAAAGUCCUGCUUUUAAGGUGGGAAUUGCUUUGGAUACUGUCGGGCUUGAGUGCAGGAGAGGUAAGCGGAAUUCCCGGUGUAGCGGUGAAAUGCGUAGAGAUCGGGAGGAACACCAGUGGCGAAGGCGGCUUACUGGACUGUAACUGACGCUGAGGCGCGAAAGCGUGGGUAGCAAACAGGAUUAGAUACCCGAGUAGUCC
rnacentral:rRNA from 1 species